AUUGAACGCUGGCGGCAUGCUUUACACAUGCAAGUCGAACGGCAGCGCGGGCUUCGGCCUGGCGGCGAGUGGCGAACGGGUGAGUAAUACAUCGGAACGUGCCCAGUAGUGGGGGAUAGCUCGGCGAAAGCCGGAUUAAUACCGCAUACGACCUGAGGGUGAAAGCGGGGGAUCUUCGGACCUCGCGCUAUUGGAGCGGCCGAUGGCAGAUUAGCUAGUUGGUGGGGGAAAGGCCUACCAAGGCGACGUUCUGUAGCUGGUCUGAGAGGACGACCAGCCAAACUGGGACUGAGACACGGCCCAGACUCCUACGGGAGGCAGCAGUGGGGAAUUUUGGACAAUGGGCGAAAGCCUGAUCCAGCAAUGCCGCGUGUGUGAUGAAGGCCUUCGGGUUGUAAAGCACUUUUGGCGGGAACGAAAAGGACUGUGCCAAUACCACGGUUCGAUGACGGUACCCGCAGAAUAAGCACCGGCUAACUACGUG
rnacentral:rRNA from 1 species